rnacentral:rRNA from 1 species
CCUACGGGUGGCAGCAGUGAGGAAUAUUGGUCAAUGGACGAGAGUCUGAACCAGCCAAGUAGCGUGAAGGAUGACUGCCCUAUGGGUUGUAAACUUCUUUUAUAAAGGAAUAAAACGAGGCACGUGUGCCUUUUUGUAUGUACUUUAUGAAUAAGGAUCGGCUAACUCCGUGCCAGCAGCCGCGGUAAUACGGAGGAUCCGAGCGUUAUCCGGAUUUAUUGGGUUUAAAGGGAGCGUAGAUGGGUUGUUAGGUCAGUUGUGAAAGUUUGCGGCUCAACCGUAAAAUUGCAAUUGAUACUGGCAGUCUUGAGUACAGUUGAGGUAGGCGGAAUUCGUGGUGUAGCGGUGAAAUGCUUAGAUAUCACGAAGAACCCCGAUUGCGAAGGCAGCUUACUAAACUGUGACUGACAUUGAUGCUCGAAAGUGUGGGUAUCAAACAGGAUUAGAUACCCUAGUAGUC